rnacentral:rRNA from 1 species
GGGUUGUGAGGUUAAGCGACUAAGCGUACACGGUGGAUGCCCUGGCAGUCAGAGGCGAUGAAGGACGUGCUAAUCUGCGAUAAGCGUCGGUGAGGUGAUAUGAACCGUUAUAACCGGCGAUUUCCGAAUGGGGAAACCCAGUGUGUUUCGACACACUAUCAUUAACUGAAUCCAUAGGUUAAUGAGGCGAACCGGGGGAACUGAAACAUCUAAGUACCCCGAGGAAAAGAAAUCAACCGAGAUUCCCCCAGUAGCGGCGAGCGAACGGGGAGGAGCCCAGAGCCUGAAUCAGUGUGUGUGUUAGUGGAAGCGUCUGGAAAGGCGCGCGAUACAGGGUGACAGCCCCGUACACAAAAUGCACAUAUUGUGAGCUCGAUGAGUAGGGCGGGACACGUGGUAUCCUGUCUGAAUAUGGGGGACCAUCCUCCAAGGCUAAAUACUCCUGACUGACCGAUAGUGAACCAGUACCGUGAGGGAAAGGCGAAAAGAACCCCGGCGAGGGGAGUGAAAAAGAACCUGAAACCGUGUACGUACAAGCAGUGGGAGCCUCUUAAUGGGGUGACUGCGUACCUUUUGUAUAAUGGGUCAGCGACUUAUAUUCUGUAGCAAGGUUAACCGAAUAGGGGAGCCGAAGGGAAACCGAGUCUUAACUGGGCGUUAAGUUGCAGGGUAUAGACCCGAAACCCGGUGAUCUAGCCAUGGGCAGGUUGAAGGUUGGGUAACACUAACUGGAGGACCGAACCGACUAAUGUUGAAAAAUUAGCGGAUGACUUGUGGCUGGGGGUGAAAGGCCAAUCAAACCGGGAGAUAGCUGGUUCUCCCCGAAAGCUAUUUAGGUAGCGCCUCGUGAAUUCAUCUCCGGGGGUAGAGCACUGUUUCGGCAAGGGGGUCAUCCCGACUUACCAACCCGAUGCAAACUGCGAAUACCGGAGAAUGUUAUCACGGGAGACACACGGCGGGUGCUAACGUCCGUCGUGAAGAGGGAAACAACCCAGACCGCCAGCUAAGGUCCCAAAGUCAUGGUUAAGUGGGAAACGAUGUGGGAAGGCCCAGACAGCCAGGAUGUUGGCUUAGAAGCAGCCAUCAUUUAAAGAAAGCGUAAUAGCUCACUGGUCGAGUCGGCCUGCGCGGAAGAUGUAACGGGGCUAAACCAUGCACCGAAGCUGCGGCAGCGACACUAUGUGUUGUUGGGUAGGGGAGCGUUCUGUAAGCCUGUGAAGGUGGCCUGUGAGGGUUGCUGGAGGUAUCAGAAGUGCGAAUGCUGACAUAAGUAACGAUAAAGCGGGUGAAAAGCCCGCUCGCCGGAAGACCAAGGGUUCCUGUCCAACGUUAAUCGGGGCAGGGUGAGUCGACCCCUAAGGCGAGGCCGAAAGGCGUAGUCGAUGGGAAACAGGUUAAUAUUCCUGUACUUGGUGUUACUGCGAAGGGGGACGGAGAAGGCUAUGUUGGCCGGGCGACGGUUGUCCCGGUUUAAGCGUGUAGGCUGGUUUUCCAGGCAAAUCCGGAAAAUCAAGGCUGAGGCGUGAUGACGAGGCACUACGGUGCUGAAGCGACAAAUGCCCUGCUUCCAGGAAAAGCCUCUAAGCAUCAGGUAACAUCAAAUCGUACCCCAAACCGACACAGGUGGUCAGGUAGAGAAUACCAAGGCGCUUGAGAGAACUCGGGUGAAGGAACUAGGCAAAAUGGUGCCGUAACUUCGGGAGAAGGCACGCUGAUAUGUAGGUGAAGCGACUUGCUCGUGGAGCUGAAAUCAGUCGAAGAUACCAGCUGGCUGCAACUGUUUAUUAAAAACACAGCACUGUGCAAACACGAAAGUGGACGUAUACGGUGUGACGCCUGCCCGGUGCCGGAAGGUUAAUUGAUGGGGUUAGCGGUAACGCGAAGCUCUUGAUCGAAGCCCCGGUAAACGGCGGCCGUAACUAUAACGGUCCUAAGGUAGCGAAAUUCCUUGUCGGGUAAGUUCCGACCUGCACGAAUGGCGUAAUGAUGGCCAGGCUGUCUCCACCCGAGACUCAGUGAAAUUGAACUCGCUGUGAAGAUGCAGUGUACCCGCGGCAAGACGGAAAGACCCCGUGAACCUUUACUAUAGCUUGACACUGAACAUUGAGCCUUGAUGUGUAGGAUAGGUGGGAGGCUUUGAAGUGUGGACGCCAGUCUGCAUGGAGCCGACCUUGAAAUACCACCCUUUAAUGUUUGAUGUUCUAACGUGGGCCCCUUACCGGGGUUGCGGACAGUGUCUGGUGGGUAGUUUGACUGGGGCGGUCUCCUCCUAAAGAGUAACGGAGGAGCACGAAGGUUGGCUAAUCCUGGUCGGACAUCAGGAGGUUAGUGCAAUGGCAUAAGCCAGCUUGACUGCGAGCGUGACGGCGCGAGCAGGUGCGAAAGCAGGUCAUAGUGAUCCGGUGGUUCUGAAUGGAAGGGCCAUCGCUCAACGGAUAAAAGGUACUCCGGGGAUAACAGGCUGAUACCGCCCAAGAGUUCAUAUCGACGGCGGUGUUUGGCACCUCGAUGUCGGCUCAUCACAUCCUGGGGCUGAAGUAGGUCCCAAGGGUAUGGCUGUUCGCCAUUUAAAGUGGUACGCGAGCUGGGUUUAGAACGUCGUGAGACAGUUCGGUCCCUAUCUGCCGUGGGCGCUGGAGAACUGAGGGGGGCUGCUCCUAGUACGAGAGGACCGGAGUGGACGCAUCACUGGUGUUCGGGUUGUCAUGCCAAUGGCACUGCCCGGUAGCUAAAUGCGGAAGAGAUAAGUGCUGAAAGCAUCUAAGCACGAAACUUGCCCCGAGAUGAGUUCUCCCUGACUCCUUGAGAGUCCUGAAGGAACGUUGAAGACGACGACGUUGAUAGGCCGGGUGUGUAAGCGCAGCGAUGCGUUGAGCUAACCGGUACUAAUGAACCGUGAGGCUUAACCUUACAACGCCGAAG